GGAUCUCAACCCGAAACUUUAACUGCUUAUUCCCCUCCAGAGGUUAAAUGCCCAAGUUGGUGUGGUCUUUCAUUGAUUUCUAUUAUGGCAUAUUGUUCCAUCCAGAAGCACAUUGAGGUGGUAAAAAGAGACCCUGCAUCAGUCUUGGCUCAGAACAUCUGCUUCUUCCUCUCUCGAGGUGCAGCCUGACCUGCUGAGUUCCUCCAGCAUUUUGUGUGUGUUACUCUGGAUUUCCAGCAUCUGCAGAAUCUCUUGUGUUUAUAAAGGGAAUACAGAGUUACAAUGGCAGAGAAAGUGCAGUGCAGGUAGACAAGUAAUGUUCAAAGGCCAUAAUGAGGUAGACUGGAAGAAUAAAUGAUCAUCUCAAUUGUACAAAAGGUCCAUUUAGGAGUCUGAUGACAGGGGAUAGAUGUACUUGAGUCUACAAAAUCUAGUGGGUUUCCUCCCAAGACACACUGGUAGAUUAAUUAGUCAAUGUAAGUUACAUCCUGAUAAAUCUUGUAGGUAAGUGUCAAGAGUAGUGGUUGGACAUAUAGGAAAGGAUAGGCUACAAGACUACCGAGACCUAAAAUGAAAGGGUUAAUGUAUGAGGAAUAUCUGAUGGCUCUGGGCCUGUACUCACUGGAGUUUAGAAGAAUGGGGGGGGGGGUUCAUUGAAGCCUACUGAAUAUUGAAAGGCCUAUGCUAUUUAAUAGUGCAGUAAUAUUUGAGUAAUAUUGUAAGAAUAUUGUUUGAUUAAGCAUGCUUUGUUGUUUAUAUAAUUCACUAUGGUUAUAUGUAAAACUAUGUGAAUUGCAUACAUCAUCACACUACUCUGUGAAACAGGCUUAAUCAUGAAGUUAGACUCAUAUAUCAGAUUCCUGUGUCUUUGAAUUAGUUUAAUGUUUUGAAGUUACAAAACAUAACAUUGUUGACAAAGUAUUUUUAAAAUGUUCCCAAGAUUGUUACCGAGCUAUUGAAGUGCUGCGAGAUGUUUGAAUUUUAAAAAAUGCAGGUAAAAAAAUACUGUUGAGUUAAAAAAGAACAGCAUAGCAUGUGUCAUUUGGAAGGAAAGACAUGAAUGAAAUUUUUGACAAAGGCCAGAAAAUGCAAAUAUUCACUGGUUCAUGAAGAGUGAGCACCAGGGGAUAAUAAUCAUAAAAAAGAGGAGAAAUGGCUCGCCACAUCAGAAAGAUUGACAAGUUUGAUUACACAAAAGAUAACUGGAAUAUGUAUACUGGACAAACUGAACAGUUUUUGACACAAAUGAAAUAGCCAAUGAGAAACAAUUACCAAUUUUGCUGAGUACAUUGGGUUUCCCCUCAUUCUUUUAAAUUCAGUGAGUAGAGGCCCAGAGCCAUCAAAUGCUCUUUAUACGACAAGCCUUUCAAUCCCAGAAUAAUUUCAUGAACCUCCUUUGAAUUCUGUCCAAUGUUGGCAUAUCCUUUCUUAGUUAAGGGCCCAAAACUGCUCACAAUACCCCAAGAGAAGUCUCACCAGUGCUUUUUAAAGCCUUAACAUUACAUCAUUGCUUUUACAUUCUAGUCAUCUCAAAAUGAAUACUAACAUUGCAUUUGCCUUCCUUACCACUGACUCCACCUGCAAAUUAAUCUUUAGGGAAUCCUACAUGAGGACUCCCAAAUCCCUUUGCCCUUUAGAUGUUUGCAUUUUCUCUCCAUUUGGAAAAUAGUCCACGCUUUUAUUUCUUCUUCCAAAGUGCAUGACCACACACUUCCUGACACUGUAUUCCAACUGCCACCUCUUUGCCCAUUCUCUUAAUCUGUCUAAGUCCUUCUGUAGCCUCUUUACUUCCUCUAAACUACCUGCCCCUGCACCUAUCUUUGUAUCAUCCGUAAACUUGGCCAGAA